CGUUGUCCACGAGAAAGUCAUGCAUUGACAACAGGAUGGCGGCGCUUGUGGAACGAAACGCGAAUCGAAACUACAAAGUCCAUGCUGCGUGAUUGUUCAAUCCAAUUAUUUUAAUUUAGUACAAAUUUCGAAAAGGGUGAGCGCAACGAACGCUUCAAUUAGAUUUUCUUUUGCAUAAUGAUAAUGUGAGCUGAUAUCGAGAAAGAAGACUCAAUCGAUCCACGACAAUCCAUGCCAAUCCGCGCUGUCCGUCGUUUCCAUGGUCGUUUCUGUAGUUUCUGAUGGUUUCUGUCAUAUGAUUUCUGUGGUCCAUGGUCUGGAUAGUCGUGUGGUAAUGUCGCGCGCUGUUCUGUGACGGCACUCCUUGCUUCAGCAUCGUAGCGUUUCAUGGCAGCUCUGUUUCAGGGUCGACGUUUUUUGGGGGGCCGUUCCCAGUGUAACUGUCCGUCGUCAUUUGACGUGGUGUAAACAGUCACUCUUCUUUGUAGUCACGCAUUGUCGCAGUGAGUCACUGCAGACGCCCUCCAACGCAAUGGAGCAGGGUACGGCGGCGAUAACGUGCAGCAUCAGGGGUUGCCCCAACGAAUUUGGACUGAGCGACCCGUCGCAUAUACUGUACGUUUGCACUGCGGACGACAUCCAGUGCAAGGAAUGGCUCGCCGUGAUACCCAAAGUCUCACUUAGACACGUGGACGAUAAACUGUGCGUGUGUUCGCUGCACUUCGACGAUGGAGUGAACGUCAGCGGCGGCGCCAUACCGACCAUCUUUCCGCCAGUACCCAGUCUGGGUGCGAGUACGAGCGAGCCACAACCGCAACAACAGAGCGAGACGCAGGACGGGGAACAAGCUAUGGCUGGUCCGGCGACAACGAUCAAACAGGAACUAGUUGACUUCGAGGAUGGUGCACUGCAAGCCCCGACGGACCUUUCGGGGAAGAAGCACGCCCAGACUGCAGCAUUUGAUGCUGUGAUUGCGGAGGUAGUUGGUAUCCGGAAGGCCAUGGAGCGGAUGGCAGACGCGCAGGAGCUUAUUGCAUCAUUGGUUGCAACACACUGCGGAUUGACAUAGUGUUUUUUUUUUUGUGUUUGGCUUUCUUUUUUCACCAAGUGGUAAGUGAUCGGAGCUUUUGUAUUUAUGUCCAUUAUGUAGAUUUAUUUAUUCCAUGCUUUUUAUUCUCUGUCAAUUUUAUUUCAUUUUCAUUGUUGCCAAGUGUAUUCCUUUCAAGUUUUGAAUUGUUCUCUUUUCUGUUGUUCUUUACACCAGUGAUAUUGUGCUUCAUACUUAUCAUGUAUCAUUAUAUUUGUGGUUAUUUAGUUGGCAUAUGUGCCUCCAUGUUUAUGUGCAUGUACCUCACAUGAUUACAUUUUCAAAAGGCCUGUGGCAGUACAGCCGGUGAGUUUUAGGCAUCUUGAAUAUUUAACGCACUUAUAGAAUGAGUGUAUUCAAUGAAACAUUUUGUCAGUGAGGAUUUAGCACGCUUAAAUUUUCAUGCAUGAAGUUGUUUUAAGACGGGGAGUUCUUUACCUUAGCGGUACAGAAAGCUGGGCUUUUCAUAAUUUUGAAGAUUAGGUUUCAUGCUAGGCCACGCUAAUGGCACAUAGUCAUUUUUUGUAAAGAGCGCAUACGAGCAGUUUGUUUGUCCUUAUGACAUGGAAAUGUAGAUGCUGGUCUCGUGAUCAAACCACACAUGAGGUACAAGCCCCAGCAUGUGCAGUUAACACUUCUUUAUUUGAACUGUAACUGGUGUUGCCAUUAGAUAGGCAAAUGUGUAUUGCUUGCAGAGAAGUGCAUCUGCCAAUUAGGAAAAGGGUUCACAUUAUGUAAAUGGGGGUCACAUUGGCCCCACAUAGGGCAAUGCUGGCACAGUAAUUGGCUGACAUUGACCCUAAAUUUUCACUACUUGGGUAUAUGAAUCACAAACAUUGAAUUUGUCAUAUUGCAUUCUGUCAAUCCAUUGCCAUUGUGCUAGCAGGAAUUUUCUCCCUUGUUGCUGCAAAAGUGAUUCAAAUGGUUCCUUGUAGGUUGUGAGUUUCACAUAUGUCAUAAUGCUAUUAGUGAUAUCAUUAGGCAGGCAUGAAAUCCAUUGCACAGACUUUUUCAAGUGUCAUCUGGUCCGGCGCAAUUCUUUAUGUUAAAGGUGUUGGCGCUCAAAAAUUUUCUGCCUGUCCUAGACAUAGUUGGAGCCAUAAAACUUGUCAUUUGUGUAACACACUUUCUAUAAAGUUCAAUAAAGCGAACACCCUUUUAUGAAAGCCUUUAUGCAGCUUAUAAAAUGGUCACUGUUUUCAUGAUACAGCACAUACAGGUGGUAUACUUUAUUAUAUAUAUAUGAGACGCCAGUUACAGAAGGCUGCUUUCAGCAUUAAGGUUACAUCUAGAGGCAUGCAUAUAUACACUGAAGCUGGAAUAUUCCCAGCCUCACCAGAACCCAUAAAUUUUAGAGAUAGAAUCUUAGCACAUUUACAAAGCAUACCCUUUAUGUAGUUGUAAGCCAGUUUCUCAUUACAUUACACACAUUACACAUCACAAAACACAUCAUUCAUUUACGCAAGCCUCAUUUAGUUUCUUAAUCAGUCAUGUUAUUGAAGAGUAGAAUCUUCAGCUGUGAAACUUUACAAUUUUCAGAAUUUCUUCUUGCUCAAAAUAACAAAGAAAUGAAACGAGCUGCAAACACUGCCAGAUCAUUUGUAUUCAUCCUCAAUCAAUUCUGUGUGACUGCGAGCGAGAGAGCGAGGUGACCUCGAGGAUGCACGAGGUGUCCACCUUCUGCAGAAGAAAACCAUGUAAGAAGCAGCGGUUUUCAUCAUGUUUACAGCCCCCAAUAAGCUCGGUAAAGUGUGCAAGGAUGUAUUAUUGCAUCCAGUAUAAGCUCUAACGUUCAGUAUGAGGUUGGAGUGCUUUCCAUGCAGAGCUCAUCUCGCCUAUGUGAUACAAACUCGAGCAAAAAGUAGAGGGUGUAUCGUUGUUCCAUCAAUGCACACCAGCUGCUUUUUGGGUGUGGUGUGCCUGCAUCGGCUUGCAGGCACACCGCACCUAAAAGCCCUGCGAAAUACACUGGCGUGCGAAUGAUCAGCAGUGUGUCAUUGCGAAGCAUGCUGUGCUAAGCAUUCGCAGGCUAGUGUGUCGUGGCUUCACAAGAUUGCCGCUUCACAUCUGGAGGAAGCAAUGACACGAAGCAUAGGGACUGAUGUGCAUUGGUGGAGCGGCAAAACCCUCUGGACUUUUUCCUCAUGCGCGUUGCACAUCAGCGCUACCAGAUUGACCUAAAGGACACUCCAGCCCCAUCCUGCAAGUUGCAACUUGUACCGAACGGUGAUAGCACAUAUAAGGUAAGCAGAGAAGUUGGAAGAGUGCACCAAGAAGCAAGCUCGCAGGUUCGUACGUUGCUGAAAAUACAGUCUUGUGCAACAUUUGGCACACACAAACAGAUGCAUUGAAUGCAUUAACAUGUUAACUCAACGGAGGCAUCACCCUCGAGCCACCUGGUGAACUGCUACUAAGACUGCGGUUGUACCUUGCCUUUCUCCAUCUGCUGCUGCUACAUGCAAAUAAAUCGAAAGCAAAGGGCACAAAGUAUUCGCGACGUAUACCCUGGCCACGAAGAAAGAAGAGAUGUGUUGGCAUGACAUUGAUCAGCCCGUACGAGAAGAAACUGUUGUACCUAUUUGCGACGACAUGCUGAGCCAGAAACUGUACUAAUGUGUCCAUGGUUCUAUGCACAAAAAAGUCCUUAAAUGUCCCUUUUUUUUUGCAUAUUAACCUUCUGAGUGUGAAGUGUUCUUCUGAAAUGCAACAAAUUUGUCUUAUAUAACCCAUUACCAUAUCUUAAGUUGAAAUGCGACUUAUUGAUGGUAUCAGUAUUUCACAUUUGUAUAUUUCUUAUAUUAAAAUGUAUUCUAUAUAUUCAAAAAAAAUUUCACAUUUCAAUUUUAAUGUAUUUUUAUGGCAUUUUAAAAUCUGAACAUGAAAUUACGACUUAAGAUGAAAAAUCACCAAGGUAAUUGGUGCUCCUCUAGCAACAUGGCCUCUUUGUCACCGUUAUUGUUCCCUGAGCGCACUUAGUUAUCAACAUUGAAGUCCCCUGUAUCAGAGUUCAUAUGAAGUUGAUGAAUUAGCAUAUUUCAAAAGAUUGCACUGGUUGACCACGUUGGAAAACGAGAGGCAGGCUACAUUGACAGUCAAUAAGCUUUGUUUCAUAUGCCAUACAAAAAAUCUAUCGUAAAACUUUUGUUUAAUGACCUCUGAGUAGAUGGUGCUACCAUACCAGUAUGUGGAUUUUUCACUGUCACAAAUGGUCUUUGGUGUGACCAGGAGUGUGCAGUGGCAACGAGAUGGUUAUAACUCAGGCGUGUCACUUAAAGGGUUAACAUAACAUUAAUUUGUAUUCCUAAAGCGAUUCUAACGCAGCUUUUAGCUUUAAAAUUACCAAACUACAUUGCAAGUAAGCUCACUUUGAACCAUCCCAUCUGCUUUGCCCUAGGCGAAUGUUAUUGGCUGUUAGUGAAAGAUGCUUCCACCACCACCAUCUUAAUUGGUUUGUAAUAAUGCAGGGAAAGCUUCUGCGAGUCUGUUUCACGUGCUCUUCUUUGCUGAAAUUGUAAGUGCUGAGGCAUGCUGUAUGGUCGCCAGUUGUCUUUGCAACAAUUUUUACUCUGAGGACGUUGGUGCAUUGAAGCAUUGACUUCUUUUUUUUUCUGUUGAAUUUAGAUUGCCCAUGUUUUUUAUCACUUUGUUUGGCCAAAAUAAACAUUUACAUGCAAGCACAUGAUGGCUUAGUUUUCUUCACUGCUUUAUUAGCAAUGUAAAGCCUCCUAGUGCCACAGACAUUGCUGCCAAUUGUUUCUUGAUGAAAGGAAAAAUAUGCUGCUCAUUGCAAAUUGUAGCUUGCUUGCGCUGCACAGCGUUGCCAGAUCGGAAAGUCGGCACGACACCAGAAAAUCGCUAAAGUUUCCCCAGAUUUCACCAGAAAAUAAAAUUGCCUUAAGAUGCACAAAAAUGGCCAAGAAUUAACAUUCGUCAAGCGCCCAUUUCAUUAUGUAUAUAAAAUCACGAUGAGAAGCCUUUAAUCAUCCCUUGGAGCAUCGUAAAUGUGUGAAUGAAACCAGCGUAGCAUAUCGUCUGUGAUGAUGAGGAGCCUGUAAUCAUCACUUGGAGCAUCGCAGAUGCCUGAUGGAAACCUGCGUAGCAUAUCGUCUGUGAUAGUGAACUUCACGCAACACCCCUCUCUGGAGGCCUACGUUGUGCGAAUUAAAGUUUUCAGCGACAUUUUGCUCCUGUACUUCGUCUUAACACACGUGACCUGACUGAAGACACGCUCCACCAGUGCAUUCGACACUGGGCAACAAGGACAUGCCAGUGCAUACAAUGCAAGGUCCUGGUAGGGCUUUUCCCUCAUGGCAUUUUUAAACUUCAAAAUUCUAACCCAGAAUGUUGCAGAAUCCUCAGGAAGUUUCCCGUCGAAGACGGCCUGCGCAACAGGUUUUUGUGACAGCGAAACGAGCGGAGCGUCAGCACGUGUAUUGGCUGGCCACUUGACGCAUUGCCGAUGGCCCGGCGUUGCUCUUCCCGCGCUUCCCACGGUAAAUUCAUUCCUCCACUAGAACAGCCGGUGCCAUCUAUUGAAACGACUUAUAAAUAUACGUGCGUUGAAACCUAGCGCUAGCAUCACACGCUAGCCCGAACCUUAGCUACAGUAUGCUUUAUAGUUCACUGUACUCUAGCGGUAGCACAGCAACACAGGGAUUUCAUGAGGAAUAAACAAAUACAAAUAUAGGCCUUAGAAUCGCGGCGGCCGCAGGCGCUACCUAGUGUUAAAUGUUUGGAUGAGCAGCGCGGGUAGACGGCAAUUUCAGUAGAGUGGUUUUCCCCAGAUAUCCCCAGAUUUUGUCUGGUGUAGUAGUUUGUUGGCCUGGCCACCAGGAGCUCUACAUUUUCACCAGAUUUCCGAAAUCUGGUGGCCAAUUUCACCAGAUGGCAACGCUGGCGCUGCAUACAAAUUGUGCAAAAGUCAAAGGGCACAUGACGCAUUUUACAAUCAUUUUGAGCUGUUUAAGGGCAUUCUUGUUUCCGUUUGAUUGACCAAAUACACAUGUAGUGUGAUGCUUUUGCUCGAAUGUGAUGGAGGAAUUGUAAGGCGUCAGUGCAAACACCACUUGCAGUGGGAUUGCGGGCGUUGCAUGCACUGCCUUUUUUGUGCGAGAUUCCAAGCACAGUAGAGAAGUGAAGGCACCUUUUGUGUGUCAUGUCAUGUCAUGUCAUACAUUCAACUCUGCCGUGACGCAUAUGCUUCAACUAAAGUUGUUAGACAAAAAGACAAGCUCUUAUAGACUGCAGCAUCGGAAAUGCAACAAUGAGUGCGCUGACUCCAGGGAUCUGCGUAUCGGUGUAGUACAUCUUUGCAUUUUGAGGGCUGGAAAAGGCUACUCUUGAAAAAAAAUUCAUCUCCACCGCACAAUGCGCACGUCUUACUCUAGAUAGUAAAGCCCACACUUUUGAUUGUGACACUGAUGAUCUAGUACCUUAUGCAGCUCCUAUACCGAGCCUUCCAUGCAGCAUUUCCUCUGGGCACUUGAAUUUCGAUGAACGGUCAUCAACCAACGUACUGUAUAGACUCGUGUAAGGGCUGCACCCAUAUAUGGGCAGCACCCCCAACUUGGCACUCCAAAAUUUGGAAAAAAAGAAAUUUCCAACAAAGAAGCAAUUGUGUUCGGUGCCCCAAUGCCAUGCGCGCGCAUUGACGAAUUUCCGGAUGCUGCGCACUUCCGCGUGCUGUUGCUAGAUGGUGAGAGCUGCGCAUUGACCUCUGAUGUAAUAGGGCUUCCAGGGAUCCGGGGUGUGCACAACGAAGACUGUGCUGGCACCAUUUUGACCAACAGGUUCAGUCCCAUGUAAGGGCCGUACCCCAAAAUUGUGAAAAAAAAGUGUGGCUAGCCAGCCACCACCGACAACGACCGCACGUGACGUCACUCUACUAACUCGUUAAAACUAACCUGCUGAGGAUGACGAGGCCACUUUUGGCAAACAUUGGCCAGCCUUUCCGAGGCACCUUGUCCCUGUUUAUAACCUUUAUACCACAAAAUAUUAUUAAGCAUCCAAAAUGCAUUGUAGUGCAUUCUCACUUGUCCUCCUAUACCCGGAAUUAGUUUGAGAGCCCCCAUACCAAGAAGGACGCCAUUACUUUCAAUUCUUUUUAAAAUGCGACUCGUACUUCUCGUGAUUCCAAAGAGUCCUUGGCAUCCAAAAGUGGUUUCGUCGCAUUUCGCAUUGUAAUUGCAAAUCGAAACACAAGUAAACAUAGGUCCCCGGCUUGUAACGUUGGGGACAGAAGCCACCAAUGGAAGAUGAACAAAAGAAUGAACCGCGAGAAUAGUUACAAAAAAUUUAGCCCCAGAAGACAAUGUAUUGCCAGUCAACUGCGGGCAGUGCAGAACAUGAAGCAGCGUCUGCAGGAAGAGGCCAACUUCUAAGAAUGCAUUUUGCAAAAGCAUGUUUCGCGAUUCUUGGUAGCCAAUUGUGGAUUGAAGGUAGACUUAGUGUUGCUCCAUUUUGGAAGUUAAGCAUUUGUCAGCCCUUUUAUUGAAAGUGACAUUUGUUUCGUGCAUACUUGGUGACCUACCUUGACUUGAUUUACAGUCUCCAGUCUGAAAACGAGACCCCUGCGAAAAAAGAAAGAGGAAACAACACAGAAUUAGAAGCAAGGUUGCCAAGAACAUAACAUCUUUGCAAGGAGUCGCAUGGUCACAUCACACGACUAUGGCAUCUGUCAUUAUUGUUUUGGGACAUUAAUCAACAAAUCAAUCGGUAAAUAUGGUCACUUGACUCAGCUGGGCUUUGUAAGUUGGCGUAAAUCAUGAGUGCUGCCGUUGACAUGGCUUAGUGAGCUCUUCAGUAGCAAAUAAGAAUGUGAGAAUUUAUUUUGACAUGAUUGUUGUAAUAAGCAAUAAGCCACAACGAUUGUAGUGUGGCUGCAUUAUUACGGACAUUGCACUUUUUGAGCUGAAGAGCAUUUAUUUGAGAGCCAGGCAGAGGAAAUUUUCUUGCUCUUACCAAAAGCACUGAUUAGUUGAAGUGUCAAGGAAUCUGGCGAUGGCUGUCAAGCUUCCUGUAUGAUCAUAAAUGUGAAAGGUGGCAGGGGCUUCAUAUAGCGGUAAAAAAAAUAUUUACAGUUGUUAGCUUAUGUUAUUGUUAGUGGUACGGGCUGGAGCACCUUUCUUUUGUAUUCUUCUUUUAGCCCCUAAAUAAUUUGUUAGCUUAUGUAUACUAAGUGGAAAUUCCUGUAAACCAUUCCAGACUAUUUGCUGCCCCACUAAAAUACUUGUGGGCUUUCUUACGAUAAAGUAACAGACCCGAACCGCAAAAAAAAAGAGAAAAAAAAAAGAAAAAAAAAUACAAAAAGAAAUGCCCAGUUUAUGGUUUUAAGAUCUAAUUGCAUCUAUCUUGACUUAUAAAGGUUGUCUUGCAUCUUAUGGAAUAGAUGCAGCUGUGCAUUUGCUCUUGAAUUCAUAUUGCCAUCUUUUUUGCAUAUUUGUUGCACCGUCCUCCUACUGUACAUUUCACCCUAUUUCGGUUUGCAUACUCUUCUAUUGACACUGAGGUUUUUCUAUUGCAACUACAUUAAUAUACACACUUGGUGUAGCAUUCUUGUUUUGUAGUAAUGCUGUACACGUAUUGUUCAGACACAAUUUUUACCGACACAGGUUUUCUCUUGUAAUAACUGUUGUGAUGCUUAAACUUGUAUUGAUGUUGAUAUUUAUCUUGAAGUAUUUGUGAAGAUAACAUUCAAACUUGCAAUGUGUUUGAGCAACUGUUGUUUUCAAAACUGCGGUCUUUUUAUUAUUUUUAUUGCUUCUGGUCAUGGAAGACCAAUUAACACAUUUGUAGUAAUUUAUUAAUUUUUUGCUGUGUCAUUUGAAGCUCCUGCUAUUGUAGUUGACCUUUCUGUUAUAAUGCCUCAAGGAAUUGAUGGUAUACAUAAAUGAAAUGAACAGUUUUACAGUAACAUACUCAAGCAAACAAAAAGGUCAUCAUGAAGAUAAAAAAAAUCUGAAAUUAAUGUGAAUACACACAUUUUUCAUAACUGCUCACCAACUAGCUCUCACGUGUAUCCAAUUUAAAGCUUAAAGGCCUUUUGCGCACUAAAAAAAAUAUUAAGCAAUCUCAGUGUGCAUGGUCUGUACAUUAUCGAAUUGAGCUUAAUGUACAUAGCGUUUGCACACGCUAGGAAAUAGCAUCAGACAUGGCAGAAAUGGUGGCUGCUGCUUCAACAAAACGUUUUGAUGACUGUGCUCUCACUAUAGUUUCUCCAAGUAAAUAAGGAUUAAGAUUUCGCAUUCUUUCAAUUCGCCUGAAUUGCGUCUUAUAAAUAUCUAGCUUCUCCAAUUUCUGAGAUUGUUCAGUGACUGCGAGGCCGCUGUUUUGCAGCGGUGCCUUUUCCCAAUGCUCUCUUUAAGUGCUUUUUUCUUUCUUGGGGGUUCAAGCAAUGCUACGCCCCGGGUGGAGCAUCCAGAACGGCCACUCAUGAAUGCAAAAAGCACCGAAAGGUAUUAGCAUCAAAAAAGGCAUUGCUGUGAAAUCUCGGCCAGGAUAUCUGUAGUCCUGAUGAGAUGCAUCGGCAUAGAAAUAAGUUGGGGCUAAUGGUAUUGUCUUGUCUUGGCACAGGUUUGAGAACAGGCACCAGAUGAUGCAAUCCCUGCUUAUGCUUGCAUGUUCAUUCUCAUACAUUACACUAACAGUCUCGCUGCAUUCCAUAUCAUUGAACUUUUCUCUCUAGAAAUCACGCACAUCGUAAUGUUAUGGAAAGUGCUUGCGUUUAAUGUAUGUAUAGUUCUGCACACUAUUUGAAAACUAACGCAGCUCUCUUACCUGAGGAGUUGCAGUGAGAUCACUACACCAGGUGAGGGUGAAUUGUGAAAACAUUGCACCUUUUUGCUGCACCUGUGUUCCCUCAAUGCAUAUGGAAAGCACCACACGAGAUCAUAAGACAGCUUUCACUUUUGAUUCUGUGGGGCUCCACCAUUGCCUACAUCUCACACAUGAAUGGUGUCGCAUCCCAAGCAUCACUGUAACACUGUCGACGCUUUAUAUGCAGUUAUGUGACUGUAUUGUCACCAUGAGAUCUUGCUUUAUUUAACAGUGCUUCUCUCCAUUUCAGGGCCUAGUUGCAAGCUGCAUAGCAUGGAACCAGCGACACAUCUGGAAGCAUUGCACAAAAAAGAAAUGCCUGCUGUAUUGCUUCCUAUGCAUUUUCCUCUGCCAUUCUAUCUCUGUUGUUACAGAAUGACUUCUUGCCAAGCUAGCUGAUGCAUAUGAGAAAGCGUGUGCAACCAAAGGAAGUUAGCUCCAGUAGAGAGACUUUGUGCAUCCUAACUUCUUGAAUGGUCUUUGUUUUUAAAAGCUUUCUUGCUGCAGCUGUGUCACAUUUUAUUGCGCAGAACUUAGAACUGUGCAAGCAAUCCAUGUUUUUAUGGAAGCCUGUUGACGCUUUAAUAGUUGGCCCUAUCGAAAUGGCAAAGGUGGCAGCUCAAUUUCUAUUCCAGGUGAUAGCGUCGCCUCUGUCUUACUGCUGUGAUGACCAUUUACAGGCAGUAUUGAUGCUUAGCUCUGUAUCACCAAUGGCAGUUGUUGCAGGCAACGGCCGCUGUUAUUUGACGUACCUGUUGUCAAUAUGAACUGUUUCCAGUUGAAACAGUCAUGCCAACAAAAGCUUGUAAGCACCACCUGCGAGACUUGCAUGAAGAUGUAGAGUGGUCGCCAGUAUCUAGGACCUCAACAAUGCUGAAAUGUUGGUCAGUUGGUCACUAUGCUACACCUGCACUGAUACUGAGUAAUUGUUGGCACGUCCCAACGUUACUUCAGUGGCAUCGUAGGCUUUGCAGAAGGUUCAGCUGACUGCUAAACCCAUAGGUGGGGCUAUAAACUGAAGGUGCAAUAACUUUAAUGCUGACCAAAAAAAUCUUCUUUCAGUGUAUUCUGCAGUUUAUUUUGCAGUGUUCAAGUUAAUGUGGAUACCAAUUCGCUUCAUUACAACGUUUUACUAUGAAGUGUUGCCCCGUGCCAUUUUGCACAGCUUUCUGUACAAAUCAAAGGACGCAUUUUCGUGUUCAAAGGAUAAAAGCAUGCUUAUUACUGUCACUUCACUUGAUCUUUUUCCAUUGGAAAUCUUGUAAAAUAUUUUGGACCUGUGUCGAUUUCUCAAGGAGUGUUUCACAAUGCUAAUUUUAAAAUGUAUUGGCUGGCUUUAGCAGCUUGAAUAUGCGGGGCUUGUUUUGUGUGUGCAGCAAGCCGCAUUUCUCGGUGUGCUAAAUCAUAUAAUGCAUUUACAUUUGGGCACUUUGUUUGUGCCGUGAACUUGUGUUUUGUUCUCUUGAUUUGUCUGUAUUUACUGUAACACCUAGCUGACUUUUUUAGAUGAGGAAUAAUGUUGCAUAGUGUGUUGCGGCACUUGCAGGAGUUCACCGUUAAAAAAUGGUGCUGUUGUUGCAUAUAGCAGUGAGCAUCACUUAACUUGUAUGACCUGGCAGCUGUGUUAAGUUGGGACAGUUGGCUAGGUUUCAACACUGUUCAAACAGCUCUGUAGACAGGACUGAGCUAGUGAAUGACACAGGUGCUCAACUGUCAACUGGUGUUUAUUCAGAGAAAGACAUGUAGGUUCGUGCGGGAAGCUGGUGGCACAAUAACACAAUCAGGUUUAGGAGGCACAACAGCACGUGUAAUUGAACAGUACACUUGUACUGAGGAGAAGUGCACAUCAAGCCACUUGGGGAAAUUACUGAGGCAGCAGAGGUAGCAUUGUUGGGCAACUUGUGUUGUGUGAAUGUAGCAUCAGUGAGCCUUACAGGCAAAGCUGAUGUUUCUUUCCUGUUCCAGAGGGGACAUGGGUGAUGUUACGUUUCUGUUUCACUUCCACAUUCUUGUGCUUAUUUUGUUUUGUUUGGUUACUGUCACUUACCUUGAUAUGCUGGAGGGGGGUAUCAUGAACAUGUAUGUGUUUUAUUGUGUAAACAUUUUUGUAUUUCUCAUGAAGGGUGGCUGACAAGCACAUGUUUUUGCAUAAUAUAUAUGUGUGUGUGUAGGUGAGGGGAGGGUACCGUCAUUUCAGCACUGUUUAUAUGAUUUAGUGUUUGCUCUUGAAAUGCAGUUUUCUUGCCACUGCAGGAAUGGCGCUUAGUGUUAACAGCCCUGGCAUGCCUUUGCAUUCAGCGACCGAUGAUGACAGGGAGGAAACUGAUGCAUCAUCAACUGACAUGGGUAGGCUCUUCAAGUCCCGGUGGAUACCGCGUCCCUGCCCGAUAUUCAGGAAGCAGAGGAUGGUGAAGCUGUUCUCCUGCCACCUGUGCUCCUUCUCCACGAUAUACGCCUACAAGCUGAAGAAUCACAUCGGAGCGCACAGCGGAGAGCGACCGUUGUGCCACGUGUGCCUGCUCUCGUUUUCAGACAUGUACGGCCUGAGACGACACAGCUUGACGCACACGGGAGAAAGGAAGUACAAGUGCAAUCUGUGUUCCUAUGCGUCGGUCACGGCCCCUCUCUUGGAGCGUCACUUGCGCACCCACACGGGCGAGAGAAAUUUUCCGUGCAGCCAGUGCCCCUAUGUAUGUGCGAGGCAAGAUACCCUGAAGAGGCACAUAGACAGGGUGCACAUUCGUGGAAUCAAAACCGAGAAUGAGCUUAUGUAAUUUGUUGAAUCGGCAAAGCUACAAAGUUUAAGAGCAGGUUGGUUUGGCGCUGGUGUUGCUUUUAGGAAGUGGUGACCUUUCGCUCGACCAAUGCCAUGUUACUGCCGUGUUAGGUUGAAGAAGUGUUCCAAUCGUAUGGCUCAAAAUGAGAAAAAAAAAUGCUGGCAGGUUUAGAUGUUGCAGUGAUAUAGUACUGGGCCUCUUGCAACUAUGAUUUCUUUUAGUCAUUGCACUCCCCUGCUCUUGUUUCCAUAGCUGUGGGACAUAGCAAAGGGUGGUUGUUUGAUUUGUAGAGCCACACAAAAAAUGUUUCAGAAGCUCCUUGCUUAUGUCCAGUGGUAACACAACUUUCCUGGCAGAUUUCUUUUCAAGAACAACGAAACCCUUAUUGCCAGAACAAUGCACUUUGCAAAAUUACCACUAAUAGGGAUAUGUGAAUAAAACACGUAAUUAUGUUGCAGUAGUUGUGCAGCAGAAAUAAUUACAUACUGCACUCAUAUAGUAAUUGCACAGCAUCAAUAAAACAUGCUGAUUGGCAAAGGCUCACACUAUUCAAUGAUCUAAACAGAAUUUGUAGACUGCCACAUCUCCAGGAAGUUUGUUCUAAUCCGAUAUUGUCAUGGGAACAGUAAUAUGAAAUGUAUUUAUUAUCCUAAAGGUUGAGUCCAGAAAAUGAAUACAUGUGUGUUGCCUUGCGUGUUGAACCAGAAGAAAGUUUGAAUGCUGCAUUAUGGCUAAAGAGAAAGCUUGAAUGCCACAUUAUUGCUUAUAAAAUGCCAUCUUAAGAACUCUAGUCUAAGCGUUCUUGUACUGCAUCAGAUGACUUCAUUGAAAGGUUGAGUGGUUAAAAGAGGAUAAAGGGCAAAUAAGUGCAUUUUUUGUAGUAAUGAAUAUGUUAAAGUUUCAUCAUUCUCCAAUGAAAAGAAAGACUGAUUGCCAAUAUUUAUGGCAUAUUGUGGAACCCUUGAGUGCAUUUUUAGAGUGCACGGAAUUGCUGGUGUCGCAACAGUGCUUUCAGGGGAGCUCCUGUUUGUACAAGAGGAAGCCCCUUUAAUGAGUCACGACAUCCUAGUCUGCUUGUGCUACUACAAUUACUGAACAUUUAUUGAAGUCAGAUAAAGGAACGCUGUUUGUGUUCAUGCGUCAUGCAAUUACUCUGUUUUAUGAUGUACCAUAUUUAUUCGAAUAUAGGUGACCGUUCUUUUAGAAAAUGUUACCCAUAAUGAGCUAUCAACCUAUAUUCAUGACCAAAGAAUCUGGACUUACAUUUGUGAAUAAAGUUAGCAAAAGUACUGAUCUAAUGCAGUUACUCUGUCGUGCCUGCCAGUCUGGAGAUUAUCCGGACUGGCUUUAAGAAAUGCUGCAUAUCCAAUGCGUUAAACGGCCGACGUCUUUUGGGGUGCUGAGGACGCCUGCGAAGUAUCCAACGAGGACGACUUCCCGGGCAGUUCUAAUGAGGAUGCAGCUUGUGGCAUUGACUAGCGACAUUUUGUAGCCGAGCUUAUAGCAAAUUAAUGUUUGUCAUGUUGAAACUAGUAUUUCUUGAAAUAUAAGGGAUGACCUAUAUUUGAAUUAAAAUUGUUUUUCUUUUUCUCCUAUAUUCGUGUUCGACAUGGUUUUGAGUAGAUACAGUGGUUUGCAAAAUCACAAGUUACAUAUGCGCAUUGAAGGUAGAUGUAAGCAAGUGAGCAUACAAAGAGGACUUGCUCGUGGUGAAUGUUAGUGCCUGUGCUCAUGUGUCCAUGAGCACCACCCACUGUGCCACUAUCAUUUGUACUCAGGCCGCAGUAGUGGAAUAACUUGCGUGAAGGCCUGUGGUUGUUCAUUAAGUUGUGAUCACAAUGUCGGAGAAAUUGGAAUCUGGCUGAAACUAGAAGAGAAAUACUCCUCAUGGGCUAGGUUGUUUUUACAUGGUGUACAAGUAUAGUCGUUGCAGAGCAAGGCAUGUCCAGGCCCCAUUUUCACUAUUGGAAGAUGAUGGUACUGCAAUUCUUGCCUUAAUUUGUUGUGCUUGUAGACAGCAAUAUUCGAGAAAAUGCCAGUUUGACCUUUUAUCUACAUUGAGAUUUCUUUUGGUAUGAUGCAAGUGCUUGCUGCAAAGGAAGCAAAUGUGCCUCAUUCCAGGAUUCAGUUUGAAGAAAGUGCAAAAGUAAGAACGCACUAAGCAGGGGAAAACGUCGAUGCACCUGCAUCCUUAUCUUUUUUUGCUUUGCGUUUUUCUUUUUUGCCUUUCUCAAAAUGAAUUCUAACUUGUGCAUUUGCAGUUUUCAUUCCAAGUUUCAUCUAUGUUUUCAUGAAGCAUUUUUUGUUGUCUGAUCACUGGAUAGUUCACAUCGGUGCUUUCCUAGUAAAAUAUCACUUCGCACUCUUUGACUAUAAAUUUUAUAGGGAAAUUAGCCAGUGAAAUUCCACAUCACUUGUUAACAUUGCUAGGCAAACGAUUUUUUGUUGUCUCUGCACUUGUGGCAUUUUCUUGAUUUUGAAUUUACUUUUAUUAUGAGCGGAUUGAUGGUUUCUGCCUUUGACAUGGUACUUUGCAUGCUCCAAAAACCUGAAGUGGUCACGAUUGGUUCAGAGCCCCCCUUUUCCCUUAUGGUGUCUUGUAACCAACUCUGCAGCUUCAGGAGUGUUUAACACCACAGCUUGCUUUCACCUAUUUCCAUGUCAUCAGUGCACUCAUACAGAAUGAAUUUCUGUAUGAAUACAGUGAAUGCAUAUUUGCAUUUCUCAAAGGUUCUGCAUGCCUUGAGAGCAUUUGAGCUCUAGUGUGCUGGAGCACACUGUUCGGUCUGUUUUUGAUCCUUUAUUUUCUGUUUUGCCUAGUGUUGUACCACUUUUCAGUUUACUUGCAUGUUAUGUUCUAAUUAUAAGUGUGUGUCCUUCUUGGCUUUUUAUUGUUAAAUGCCAAAGAAACGUUGCAGCUCCAACUGAAAAAUAAAGGCAUUAGAAUGUUGUCAA